rnacentral:rRNA from 1 species
UACGUAGGGUGCAAGCGUUGUCCGGAAUUAUUGGGCGUAAAGAGCUUGUAGGCGGCUUGGCGCGUCUGCUGUGAAAUUUCGGGGCUCAACCCCGAACUUGCAGUGGGUACGGGCAGACUAGAGUGUGGUAGGGGAGACUGGAAUUCCUGGUGUAGCGGUGAAAUGCGCAGAUAUCAGGAGGAACACCGAUGGCGAAGGCGGCAUCCUGGACCGGCAUUGACGCUGAGGCGCGAAAGCCAGGGGAGCAAACGGG